UCGCAGCCCAGCAAUUUUCAAAUCUUCCCUCUGAGCUCCCGUCGGCGAACUUUCUCUCUGGCGUCGUCGUCUUCUCCCCGUUGAGCGUUAACCGUUAGCUCCUACCUCGGAAUCAACUGUAAAUCAAUUCAAUCGUAAAUUGUCAAAAGUAAUACUGAGCAGAUUUUGCAAUGUCUCCGCCUGCUAAAAAAAGUUCUACUGAAGCUAAGGAGAAAGAUCUUAUCCUCGACAACGACAUGGAAAAAGAUACAUGGAGCUUUAAGUCAAUGGCGGAUGAUCCGAUGGAUUUUGCCUUUGGGUCGCCAGCUAACAAGAAGAAGAAUGCCUUCAAGCUGGAUAUGGGUUUCGAUUUUGAUGGAGAUUUUGGAAAUUCAUCAUCAUUCAAAAUGGAUAUGCCAGACUUCGAUUUCUCCAGCCCAGCCAAGAAAACCACAAAAGCGAAAGAAAGCCCUGGUGAUAAAUCUAGUGGAGAUUUAAAGCAGAAAAAGAAUCCAUUUCACUUCUCUUAUGACUUUGAUGCGUUGGACGACUUUAAUCUUGAUUCAAGCCCACCGAAGAAGGGAACCAAGACAACGACCAAGGUCAUGGAUUUCGAAGAAAUUGAUAAGUCUGGCUCUUUGGACUUUGGUCACGACUCACCGAUAACUAGACAAGCUGCCUCCGUGUCAAACACCGAUGUCAAGGAAAAAGCUUCUGCUGAAAAAGAGAACCUAAAUUCCAAGACUACAGAUACUAUGGUUGUGGAGAGUAGCGCACACUCGAAGCAAGCUACAGAAGAGAGGAUGGAGAACUCUGAGGCUGUGGAAUCACCCCAAGGUCUAAGGAUAAAAACCUCAACUACUCAUACAAUGUGUCUGCAACCUCAAUCUGUAGACGCUUCACCAUUGAAGACAUCAUGUGUAAUGCUUGAAGACACAGAUGAUCCAUGUCUUUCAAACGAGACCGCAGCACCCUCGCCAUUACAUGCUUCUGAGACUACACAUACUGCUGCAAACAGAGAAAUCAGUCCAGAUAUCAACGAAAUCUGCAGGUCUAGCUCAAAAGAAGACUCUCCUAGAGAUCCAGAACAGAAUGCAAACAAAGAUAUGAUUUCCGCAAUGGACACAAGCUAUGAAAAGGCUGAACAGACUAAACCAAGCAUCUCAUCUCAGUUAUGUUUGGACAAAAUGGAUUGGCAACAGGAAGAAAUGGGUAUAGGCACUCAGGCAGAAAAGCAGGAUCACACUAGAAGAACAUCAUCUGAUCCAGAUCAUGGACAUCCUCAAACAACUCUCUCAGGAAAAAUAUCACCAAGCUCUCGUCAAAGCCAAGCUGCUCAAGUACAAGAUUCGAGUGGAAAACUACCACUGGAUACAUCCCACAGCGUGCCAGGGCUCAGUGAUUUAAAAAUCACCCAAAACAAAGACUCAGGACUUAUCAGAUCCAAAUUUUUUAAGAAGACAGAAAAACCACAAUCCCAUGUACUGAAGUCCUCUCUAACUCAAACAGAGAGUCGGCCAGUGACCCGAGAAAAGAUUGCGGUUAAUAUGAACCUUACAAAUGAUAGAAGACAUGAUAUCCAAGAUGUGUUGCCUGGAUCCAAAACUAGAACAUGUCCAGUUGAGCUUGUGAAAACGGAUUCUGAAAUAGCAAAUGUCAAUUCUAUCAGCAGGUCUCAUAAAAAGAUAAUCCACAAGGACCAUUCAAAUGUCAAGACUGCAGAAAAUGUGGCUGCACAGUUGGAUCAUUUAAAGAUGCAAUCUAAAAAUACAACUAGAGAGAAGUCUAUCUUGCAGAUCAAUAUAAGCUCAAAACUCGAUGCUUCUAGCUUGACUCAGAAGCUAAGUAAAAAUUUGAGUUCUGGAGCAGAAUCUUUGCAGAAGUCCAAGUUGGUAUCUCUUGAAAGGCCUAAACUUGGAAAUAUGAUGUUUGAUCUGCUUUCUGCGAAAACUCAAAGGACCAUUGGAGUAACUAAAGACCAAUCCAGUUCGUUCGUGCAACCAGUAGUGAACUCUACAACAGGCAAGGAGAGAAAUACCGAAGCAUCAGUUAAAAGAGGCUCUGAGACUCACCAUUUGGCUCCUAGAGACAAAACUCAACUCCUGGACUACCCAUCUUCUUUAAAGCGGAAAGCUCUUGAUGAGGAUGCAGAUAGAUCUCUGAAGCCACAACUUAAACGAUUUUCCAUGUCUCCAAGGGAAAACAGGAACGCUGAGGAUCUCACACAUAGAGUUGCGCAAGGAAAGUUCUCAAGCCAAGAGAGUAGAAUAGAUAAUAACACAACCAAGGAGCUUGUCGGAAAAAGUCCACGGAGUACGUCUCAUCACCAGAUGGGAAACAUGGCAAAUCUGGAAAUCCCGGUCACUGAGAAUUCUGAUAACAUAGAGAAAGCUGAAGCAUAUACAAAAGAACUCGAGAGUAUAUGCAACACUCUGAAGAAGAAGCAUGAGGAAGCGAAAGAGUUGCUUGUCCGUGCUAUAGUAAACAACAAUAAGCUACUGAUGCUCAACCAUCCUUUACAUGAAGACAAGAUUCGUAUGAUCCAGAAGUUCGCAGCCAAGUUGAGUUUGAGGGACACUCAAACCACCACUGUUGCUUAAGAGGUUCAGUGUGGACUUACACCAAUACUAUAUGAUCAACAGUACAGAAGUGUUGACUUCACAUUAGUCCAAGCCUCAGUUGCCACCGGAAGCCGCCCUCUUGAGCGGACUCCAGUCGUGGUGAAGGUGAGAGAGUUAAGCACUUCUAUUGAGUGUACAAGCCCAACUGUAGCAGAUGGUCAAGCUUCAGGGGGCAGUGGCAGUCAGGUAAAAACUCCGGAACGUUUAAGCCCAGGAGGAUCGGACCCGGAACAUCAUUAGGGUUUCCUUUAAAAUUGAGAGUUGUUCUCAUUUUCUUCCAGAUGUGUAUUUCUUAUUAUCAAUAAUUUGGUUGCAAUGAAUCUGUUUUUUUCCUUUGUCAUAAGAUACGAAUACGUGUUUGUAAGAUCAUUACAAAGGUAUAACAGUUGUAUUGAUCACACAUAAUACAUUAUUCUAAUUUCCUUAUCGUACGUUAGAUAUUGAAUUUCGCUAUUUUACGUUACAUAUUAUAUAUUUUGUUUUGCUUUGACUGAGAUAAGGACCGUAUCAUUAGUAUCCUUUAUUUUUUGGAACACGUUUUUCUUUUAGCUCUAUUACUUUUUGCCUUUACGAUAUAUAUAACAAUGCAAGGGAGGUUGAUUUAGAUGUUCCUGACUUUGCGCCUUUACAAUAUAUAUAGCAAUGCAAGGUGCGAGCCCGCCUUAUGAUUAUAUCGUGUUUUAUGCUGAUUGUGACUAGCAUGUUGAAAAGCAAAAGUAAAACGAACAAGUAAGUUGUAACUUCUAACAAAAAAAAAAAAUCAAGCAAAUACGUAUUCUUUCUUUGUUUUUAAUCGAAACACAGUAGAAUGGCUUGAAUGUACAAUUUACAUGUGGUCGAUUUAGAUUGUCUGGGCAUAGCAGAUCAUUAAGCCGCAUUUUAAUUGAUGGCGAUUAGCUUAUCAAAGAAAGGAUUAAACAGUUGAAGACAAUGAUUAAAACAAACAAAUUCAAGUUACAUAUCUUAUAUUCACCUCUGGAUUCUUAACUGAUAGGAACCUUUUUCUGAUUAAAGGAGCUUCUUACAUUAACAAAAAAAUAAACACUAUUGGAAGCAAUAUAUUAAAAUGGUUUUUGAUUUCUUCUCAUAGUUAAAUCGUGUAUUAGUUUGUAUAGAUACGGGAAAUCUAUAAAUAUAACACUAGAAAGUUGAUUUUGAUAUAUAAUUUAAGUUCUAUAAAAUAGAUAUUAGCUGAUUUAACAAAUAUUCAAUAUAUAAAAUUUAAUUUCUAUAACUAAGAGUAAAUUUUUUAGCAAAAGAAAAAAAAAACUAAGAGUAAAUUGAUGGCGGAUUAAGUAGUGCAAGUAAUCUUUGAUGGCUGGUUAAGUAGUGUAAGUAAUUUUCAAAUAUUUAUGGGCGAUACUAUAUUGUUCUUCAUUGUAUCUAUGGUUAAAACUUCUAUUGAAGUCAAAAAUCUUGUAUUCGAGUAUUGAUUAACAAAAAUUUGAUGUGUUGCCAAUAAAAUAUCAUAGUCUAGUCUGGUGGUGAUUAAAUUAAGAGCAAAAAUCUAAUACGGUAAAUUUUGGUUCGAAUUCGGGCACUAUCAAACCGCCUUCCCUUUUCUAUCUUUUUUUUUUUUCUCGAAAAUUUUUCUUUUUCUAUCUUAUCGGAAUUUCAUGAAUCUCUCUUCGUCUAUUACCAUUACCUUGUUUUUAAAACUCUCUCUCACACACACACAGACACACACACACAUAUAUAUAUAUAUAUAUAUAAAUAUAAUUUGUUUGUGCGCAUGCUUAUAUUAUUAUAUAUACUAUCACUGGCUAGGGACGGUCGAAUUAGACAUAGUGUGGCUUUUUUUGGUGUUAAAGAUUUGUGCUUUGUGGACAUACACAAAUGAUUAAAUGCUUAUUAUAAUUAGCAUUCCAAACCGUCUCUUAUCGCUCUUUUUGAUAGAUCAGUGUAACUAUAUAAGAUUCUUAAGAUUCAUAUCUUUAUUCUUUUAAGAUUCAAAUUUUUCUUACUUGAUGAUACAAUUACCGAAAAUAGUCACGUAAAUGGAUAGAACUUUAUGAUCAAACUUCUUAUUUUAAUAUUUCUCAUUUCACUGAAUUAGGGUUUAGUAGUCAUUUAGUUUCGAUUAUAUAAACACGUCAGUUGCGGUGACCUAACAAAAUCAGCAAGUAUUGUAAACGGAUGAUCGCAUGCAUGCCUGAUAUAUGACUCAAUAAUGGUUUGGAAAAUAUUGACACGCCGUGAUAAAAGAUCUUAUUAAAUUCAGAACUCGUAAAUGCUUCAUUAUAGCUAAUUAAGAUUGAUUUAAAUUGAUUAUAAGUAAAUUACAUGUUGGUUUGCCAUUUGUUUAGACCAGUAUUCUAAAAAUAAUUAAGUUUAGGUGCAGUCAUAAGUAAAACGAUUUUUGUGAAUAUAUCUUUUUAAGAAUCGGUUUAAAUGGAGACUAUACUUUCGACCAGCACUAAUCUCAUAUGAAACGUCUAAUUAGCACCUAAAGAUUUUUGAACAUAACUUGGUUUCGACUAAAUUAAUUGAGGGAACCGAUUCUUGCAUUUUAACCACUACGAUUACAUUCAUAUAGUUGUUUUGGUAUUAGUACAAAAUUCAUCCUUUGAGACCAUCUCCAAUGGUUUCCCUCAUUUUUUCCUUCAAAAUGAUGUAAACUCAAAAUGAGGUUGUGAUUUGUUCCAAUGGUUCCCCUCAUUUUCUCCCUCAAUUCUUAUUAUAUUCAUUUUUCAACUUUUUAUUUAUUGCAAAUAACACCUUUUAUUUUAUAAGAUUUUAGACUAUACUCAUUUAUUUUUAAAUUCUACAAUUUAACCAAACUUUAACUUAUAAAAAACAAAUAUUUAUUACAUUAAUAAAGUUACAUAACAACAUACAAA